rnacentral:rRNA from 1 species
GCGUGAGGUGACGACGGCCACGGGUUGUAAACCUCUUUUAGUAGGGAAGAAGCGAAAUUGACGGUACCUGCAGAAAAAGCACCGGCCAACUACGUGCCAGCAGCCGCGGUUAUACGUAGGGUGCAAGCGUUAUCCGGAAGUAUUGGGCGUUAAGAGCUCUUAGGCGGUCUGUCGCGUCUGCUGUGAAAACUGGGGGCUCAACCCCCAGCCUGCAGUGGGUACGGGCAGACUAGAGUGCGGUAGGGGAGAUUGGAACGCCUGGUGUAGCGGUGGAAUGCGCAGAUAUCAGGAAGAACACCGAUGGCGAAGGCAGAUCUUUGGGCCGUAACUGACGUUGAGGAGCGAAAGCAUGGGGAGCGAACAGGAUUAGAUACCCUGGUAGUCCAUGCCGUAAACGUUGGGAACUAGAUGUAGGGUCCAUUCCACGGAUUCUGUGUCGCAUCUAACGCAUUAAGUUCCCCGCCUGGGGAGUACGGCCGCAAGGCUAAAACUCAAAGGAAUUGACGGGGGCCCGCACAAGCGGCGGAGCACGCGGAUUAAUUCGAUGCAUCGCGAAUUAAUCUUAUCAAGGCUUGACAUAUAUUAGGAAAAGGCUGGAAACAGUCUC